UCUGCCAUCAGGUCUGGGACAACCACUGGAAACGGUGGCUAAUACUGGAUGUGCCGAAAGGUGAAAGGUUAACUGCCUGUUGAUGAGCUCGCGUCUGAUUAGCUAGUUGGUGUGGUAAGAGCGCACCAAGGCGACGAUCAGUAGCUGGUCUGAGAGGACGAUCAGCCACACUGGGACUGAGACACGGCCCAGACUCCUACGGGAGGCAGCAGUGGGGAAUUUUCCGCAAUGGGCGAAAGCCUGACGGAGCAAUACCGCGUGAGGGAGGAAGGCUCUUGGGUCGUAAACCUCUUUUCUCAGGGAAGAACACAAUGACGGUACUUGAGGAAUAAGCAUCGGCUAACUCCGUGCCAGCAGCCGCGGUAAUACGGAGGAUGCAAGCGUUAUCCGGAAUGAUUGGGCGUAAAGCGUCCGCAGGUGGCUAUGUAAGUCUGCUGUUAAAGAGUCUAGCUCAACUAGAUAAGAGCAGUGGAAACUACAAGGCUAGAGUGCGUUCGGGGCAGAAGGAAUUCCUGGUGUAGCGGUGAAAUGCGUAGAGAUCAGGAAGAACACCGGUGGCGAAGGCGCUCUGCUAGGCCGCAACUGACACUGAGGGACGAAAGC
rnacentral:rRNA from 1 species